rnacentral:pre_miRNA from 1 species
UGUUUGUGUUCAUGUGUUAUGUUUGUUAAUGUUUGUACAUGAACACAAACAUUAACAAACAUAGCACAUGGAUACAAACA